ACAGCACGUUCUGCAUGUUAAGCUCAUUUUCACAGUCUUAUCUGUGCCACGCCUCUGACCUUCACCUCAGUAAAUACAAAGGAGGGGCUCACCUCAGUGUGACAUCAUUGCAAUGCAGUAAUCUACAGCACAUGUGGGUGUGAAAAUCAACUGAUGGGGAAAUUUGGGGGGGAUCUUUUAGAUUCACCUUUUUUGCAACUCGUAUCGAGGUUUAGCAUCACAUUGACAGAUGAUCUGCUUGAUUUACAGGGCCGCCCCAUUGUAAUCUGUGACAAAGAUGAUUACGAGACCAUCAAGAACUCCAGCCGCACCAUCAAAGUGCCUCACUGUGUAGACUGCCUGCAGGGCAUCCUGAGCGUCAUCCCACUGCAGCUGCUGUCCUUCCACCUGGCGGUCCUCCGAGGCUAUGACGUUGACUGUCCAAGAAACCUGGCCAAGUCUGUGACAGUAGAGUGAGCGACACCACCACAUUCAUCACCUAACAACAAAAGCCUGGCGGACACGUAUUCAAACACACAUGGAUGCGGCGAGGGAGCGUCUGUAUGCAGAAACCAAGAGAAAACUGUCUCGUUUGUGUCUUGUGUCAUGGCUGUUUUUUAAUGCAAUCUUUCACUCAACCGUUGUUUAUCUCACUGUUGUAUAUCAUCUGUAUAUCACCGUUUUAUUUUCUUUGGUGUUGGAGUUGUGGUGUUUGUGGUGGCAGGUCUGGGCUAGCACUGACUCUUUAUCUCCAUUACUCUCUGGGUUUGUGAAGCCGUAGCAACGGACAGUGACCAUUAGCGUUUAUUCACUUUCACGCUCAAAACCCUCCAUGUUUAUUUGCGCUGAUUAGUCUCACUGGGAGCAUCUUGAAGCAGUAGACUGACAGAAGUUAGGUUUUAAAGACCGUACUGGCUUUUUUUCUUCUCUACUGCAAUGAUUUGUAGUUGGGAUAUUUUUCUUUUUGGCAGCUAAUCAUCUGAAGCAUCUUCACUCCACAGUUGAAGUAAGCGACAGUCUUAAAUCAUUCCAAGCCGCAGGUCACCACUUCAUAAUUGCAGCGUUUCUCUCUUGGACUUUAGUCUGAGGACGCAUAACUUCUAGCAGAAGCAGCAUCACAAAUCCGAUCACAGAAAAGUGUGUGAAUACACUGUCUAAAAUGUUCUUGGGUAGGUUGCAAAAGUUUGUUCUUGUCUUAAACCUUAGUGUUUCGGACUUCAGACCCUUGUCUCGGUCGGCGAGAAUAAGCCUCAUUUACUGGGCCAGUGUGACCUUUUGUUGCCAUAAACAGUUUCUGCAUUUAUUCUUCUCUGAACAUUAUACUCUAAAGCUAUUUGUGCACAAUUUAGUGUUUGAUUCUUAUUUUCAACUCUGUUGCCUCACUGUUCAAAAGAGACUUAAGUGCUUAUAACAGGUCUCUGCUUUACAUUUACAUUUAAACUGAAAGCUGAAGUAAAUCAAGCAAGAUGAAGUUACUAACCUUAAGUAGAAGUUGCACCCAGUUAGCAGCCCAUGGCCUUCCACCAUGACAUAGCUGCAAUACUGGGACCAUUUGAUGCAUUUUUUUUUUUUUUUUUUUGUCACGUUUCAUUUUCUUAAAGUUUAUUAUCGAAGUUACUCUUUGAUUUGAAAUGUGAAUGUUACAGUCUCUUGAAAUGUCCUUUCAAACCAAAAAUCUUAUUGGGUUUGGCAGUUGUAAACCAAAAUGUAGACAUUUUAUAUGUUCAUCCUAUAUUGUUUUUGUAUCUAAACAUACUGAUGCUGGUAGAUGCUUCAAGGCCUUAAAUGGGGCAUAUAGGGGGUUUUAUGGCAGUAUGUCAGACUGUAGAUGUUUUAGAUAGAAAGCCUGUGUGUGUGUGUGUGUGUGUGUGUGUGUGUGUGUGUGAGAAUCCAAAGGUCUUUGUUUGGAAGGCCAAGUAAAGAGCGAUGUUGUGUAGUGAAGAAUCAGGAGCUGCUUUUUGUCCCAUCACAUGUUAGGUUUAUUAAUUUUGCUUUUGCAAUCAAGCCUUAACUUUUCUUUUUCUUCCCCCUCCAACAUUGAGCUUCUCGAGCCAGUGAAAGGGUUUGAAAACUGGAUAAUAUUACAGAUACUUUCGUAACCCACAUACAUGAGAAAAUUCAGAUUUCUUGACUGGAGGCAUUGACAAAGGAUGCUGCACUGAAUCCUAGCAACAUCUGUUGGUUACUGAGGGUGUGGGGCACUAUUUAUUAGUGGAACUGAUGCAAUAAAGUGUCAAGUACUUCCCUUAAA